UACGAAGGGUGCAAGCGUUACUCGGAAUUACUGGGCGUAAAGCGUGCGUAGGUGGUUUGUUAAGUCUGCUGUGAAAGCCCCGGGCUCAACCUGGGAAUGGCAGUGGAUACUGGCAAGCUAGAGUGCGGUAGAGGGGUGUGGAAUUCCCGGUGUAGCGGUGAAAUGCGUAGAGAUGCGGCGGAACACCGAUGGCGAAGGCAGCCCCCUGGGCUGAGAUUGACGCUCAGGCACGAAAGCGUGGGGAGCAAACAGG
rnacentral:rRNA from 1 species